ACCAGGCGACCGAGGUCGUCGAGCGACCCCAUGCGGUUGAACGGCACCAGCGAACGCGGAUUCUUCGCCACCCCGGUCAGGUCCAUGCCGAAGCCGGACAGGGUAUGCGCCACCGCCUGGCCGAUCUCCCCGGUGCCCACG
rnacentral:sRNA from 1 species